rnacentral:lncRNA from 1 species
AGAAAAAGGAUUUAAUCAAGUUUUUUUGUUUUAAAGGUGUCCCUGGUUAAUUUUAAGCAGUGUGGGGCUAGCUUAAGUAAAACUUGUAAUAAAAAAGGGACAAGGUAAUGGUAAAGUGUUUUUGCAUAUGCGUUCUUUUAGAGUUAUAUUUUAGUCUUUGGAUCCUGACUAGAGAUAGUUUACACCCUAGACAUGAGAGAGAAUGGGUUUGGGAAAAACAGUCCUCCCGGACUCUCCACAGAUGCUUUGGAGAAAGAGAAAAACUUUUCAGGGCUCUCCUGGGAACAGAAGAAAGGCAGGAGACGUCCUGCCUCUCUGCUGGCUCCUAUUGGAGAAAUGCUUAUUUCUAGUUCUGGGUUCCAUAAGUAGGAUAUGUGGAUCCCUAUCGUGGGACACCAUCUAGUUUUUUCCCUCUAUGUCUAUUGUGUGUCCUUGGUGCACCAAGCUAUCCAUGUCUGUCAGUUUGUGUCUGUGGUCUUUGUUUCUCGUUGUUUAAAUGUUUUAUGUUUCGUGUUCAAAAGAAAAAAAUGAUAA